rnacentral:piRNA from 1 species
GGACCAGACAUGAGUCUGAAGUGUGCU